rnacentral:rRNA from 1 species
AUUGAACGCUGGCGGCAGGCCUAACACAUGCAAGUCGAGCGCGCGGCGGACGGGUGAGUAAUGUCUGGGAAACUGCCUGAUGGAGGGGGAUAACUACUGGAAACGGUAGCUAAUACCGCAUACCCUCAGAUGUGCCCAUAUGGGAUUAGCUAGUAGGUGGGGUAACGGCUCACCUAGGCGACGAUCCCUAGCUGGUCUGAGAGGAUGACCAGCAAAACUGGAACUGAGAAACGGUCCAGACUCCUACGGGAGGCAGCAGUGGGGAAUAUUGCACAAGGGGCGCAAGCCUGAUGCAGCCAUGCCGGGUGUGUGAAGAAGGCCUUCGGGUUGUAAAGCACUUUCAGCGGGGAGGCGUUACCCGCAGAAGAAGCACCGGCUAACUCCGUGCCAGCAGCCGCGGUAAUAC